rnacentral:siRNA from 1 species
GACAUUCAAAUUUGGCCAGUGAAA